GAUGAACGCUAGCGGCAGGCCUAACACAUGCAAGUCGAGGGGUAACGAUUAAGUAGCUUGCUACUUAAGGCGACGACCGGCGCACGGGUGAGUAACGCGUAUGCAACCUACCUUUAACAGGGAGAAUAGCCCCGAGAAAUCGGGAUUAAUGCUCCAUAAUGAUUUAGAAUCGCAUGAUUUUAAAUUUAAAGCUCCGGCGGUUAAAGAUGGGCAUGCGUGACAUUAGUUAGUUGGUGAGGUAACGGCUCACCAAGACAACGAUGUCUAGGGGUUCUGAGAGGAUUAUCCCCCACACUGGUACUGAGACACGGACCAG
rnacentral:rRNA from 1 species